UCACAAAAUAUAAUGAUUUUUGCAGGGUCUGGGACCUUAUUCGACCGGCAUAAAGAAAGCCGAAAAGGAAAUCAAGGAAAUGGCCAAAAAGAUAAAUGAUUUACGCGGUAUUAAGGAGUCUGACACUGGGUUAGCUGCACCAAGUCAAUGGGAUCUGGUUUCUGAUAAACAGAUGAUGCAGGCGGAGCAACCUCUUCAGGUUGCCAGCUGUACAAAGGUAAUUAGCCCCAACACUGAAGAUGCAAAAUACGUGAUAAACGUCAAGCAAAUUGCAAAGGAGCUGUUAUAAGAAGUGUGUGCACGGAGGCUGGAAUGUAUGCUAUUCGAGCAAGGAAGAAAACUGUUACAGAGAAAGACUUUUUGGAUGCCGUCAACAAGGUCAUUAAGGGAUAUCAGAAAUUCCAUGCAACACCGAAGUAUAUGGUCUACAAUUAGUUGGACUACAUUUUCUUUGGUACAAACAAUCAAGCAUUGGCAGGAAUGAAGUGACAUUGCUAUUUGCCAUUUAGUUAUCCCGUGUACUCAAUUUGAUGAUUUAUGCUGUCCACUAAGAUUUUAUUACCUAUUUAUUCAUCUUUGGUGUGCUCCUGUUUGUUGCCAACAAAGAUACAGGACCAACUUCUGCGUUGUAAUGCCUGAUGACUUGGUGUUUUGAGUUAAAAUCUAAGAGCUGUAAUGAUAGCUAGCUUUCCCUCGUUA